GAUGAACGCUGGCGGCGUGCCUAAUACAUGCAAGUCGAGCGAACGGACGAGAAGCUUGCUUCUCUGAUGUUAGCGGCGGACGGGAGAGUAACACGUGGAUAACCUACCUAUAAGACUGGGAUAACUUCGGGAAACCGGAGCUAAUACCGGAUGAUAUUUUGAACCGCAUGGUUCAAAAGUGAAAGACGGUCUUGCUGUCACUUAUAGAUGGAUCCGCGCUGCAUUAGCUAGUUGGUAAGGUAACGGCUUAACAAGGCAACGAUGCAUAGCCGACCUGAGAGGGUGAUCCGCCAGACUGGAACUGAGAAACGGUCCAGACUCCGAGGGGAGGCAGCAGUAGGGAAUCUUCCGCAAUGGGCGAAAGCCUGACGGAGCAACGUCGCGUGAGUGAUGAAGGUCUUCGGAUCGUAAAACUCUGUUAGUAGGGAAGAACAAAUGUGUUAGUAACUGUGAACAUCUUGACGGUACCUAAUCAGAAAGCCACGGCUAACUACGUG
rnacentral:rRNA from 1 species